CCUACGGGAGGCAGCAGUGAGGAAUAUUGGUCAAUGGGCGCGAGCCUGAACCAGCCAAGUCGCGUGAGGGAGGACGGCCCUACGGGUUGUAAACCUCUUUUGUCGGGGAGAAAAGGGCGCCACGUGUGGCUUCACUGCGAGUACCCGGAGAAAAAGCAUCGGCAAACUCCGUGCCAGCAGCCGCGGUACUACGGAGGAUGCGAGCGUGAUCCGGAUUUAUUGGGUUUAAAGGGUGCGUGGGCGGAUCGUUAAGUCAGUGGUCAAAUUGAGGGGCUCAACCCCUUCCCGCCAUUGAAACUGGCGUUCUUGAGUGGAAGAGAAGUAUGCGGAAUGCGUGGUGUAGCGGUGAAAUGCAUAGAUAUCACGCAGAACCCCGAUUGCGAAGGCAGCAUGCCGGCUUCCGACUGACGCUGAGGCACGAAAGCGUGGGGAUCGAACAGGAUUAGAUACCCGAGUAGUC
rnacentral:rRNA from 1 species